GAGUUGCUGUGAGGAUGGAAUGGGGAACCUGGACAGCUCCAGCAAUCUUACUGCAGAAGGUGCUUCUGGGUGGAUCCCAGGCAGAGGAAUCAGAGGCAAAACAUGGAGGGAGUGAACUCCUGAAAUCACUUGGGUUCUGAAUCCAGCCAAGCCCGAAACCAGCCCUGCCCUGGGCUUUUCAGCUCAACCUACUGCCUGCCCAGGGCCAUCAAUAAUAAAUGUCCACAGACAGCUGAAGGACAUUAAAGACAGAUGGUGAUGGAUCAGAGCACUCAUCAGCCACUGGGUGUAGACUGUAUAAAAAGCUGAGCCCAGAGGCCACCAUGAUCAACCUGCAACCUGGCAAGAAAUGGACUCAACUCCACAGACAGCAGUUGUCAGGGAGCCCAGACAUGUAAGGAUGCGGCAAAGGCCCUCGCCAGAUGCUGAAUGCGGAUGCCGUCAUCUUGGACUUCCUAGCUUCCAGAACGAGCUGCACUGACACCCGUGGAUAUGUCCCUUUUGUGCAAAUGUGGAUUUCUCUAAAGGAGAAUGUACUGAGAGAUGCUACAUCACUCUCUGAAGUGGCCACUUGGACCAAUUAGCAUCUCCAGUGAUGGUACAGCGUGCCCAUUCCUCUACGUCCUCACCAACACUAGGUAUGAGCAUGCUUAUUAAUGGUCCUAAGCUGACGUAAGUGAUGUGUGUGUAUGUCACUGCUGUUUCAUUUUGAAAUGUGCUUAUUUGUGUGAGAGGUUGAGAAUAUUUUCAUGUUGACGGAUCAUGAAAUAUUCCCCCUCAAGGAAUUUCCUAUUUAUAUUAUUUUCCCCAUCUUUCUAUUGAGUUUGUCUUUUAAAUAGGGAUUCUUUUUACAUUCUGGUUACUGAUAUUUUGUUAAUUACAUGGAUUGUAAAAUCUGUUCUUAUCUUUUCAUGUUUUUUCCUGCUUCUUGGCAAGUGAGUUUAUACUGUUAAUUAGAAAACUUUAUCACACUUUUUAUUUGUGACUUGUACUUUUCCUAUCAUGAAAAAAGGUUUUCUUCAAAUCGGUUCCUAUUCUGUUCUCAUAAAGAUAUUUGCCCAUGUUUUCUUCUAACAGUUCUAUAGUUUUGUUUUUGACAUUCAUAUUUUUACAUUAUAGAAUUAUUUUUAAUAUGAUGGCAGAUAAUGAUCAAAUGUUAUCUUCUUCUGAAAAUGUGCUAGAAUUACUUGUUUGGUCUAUUACCUUCUGCUAAUUUUAAAGCUGCCUCUGUCAUAUACCAAGCUUGCAUCUAUAUGUGGCUCAGUGUCCAGGCUGCCUGACAUCCCAGGACAAUGCUGCACUGAUUUACUCUCUACAGCUCCAUGGUAAGUGAUAUGGUUAGGCUAUGUGUCACCACCCAAAUCUCAUCUUGAAUUAUAAUCCCCAUAAUCCCCAUGUGUCAAGGGAGAGACAAGAUGGAGGUAAUUGGCUCAUGGGGGCAGUUUCUCCCAAGCUGUUGUCAUGAUAUUCAAUGAGUUCUCAUGAAAUCUGAUGGUUUUUGUAAGUGUUUGGUAGUUCCUCCUGCAUUCAUUCUCC
rnacentral:lncRNA from 1 species